GAUGAACGCUGGCGGCGUGCCUAAUACAUGCAAGUCGAGCGAACAGAUAAGGAGCUUGCUCCUUUGACGUUAGCGGCGGACGGGUGAGUAACACGUGGAUAACCUACCUAUAAGACUGGGAUAACUUCGGGAAACCGGAGCUAAUACCGGAUAACAUAUUGAACCGCAUGGUUCAAUAGUGAAAGGCGGCUUUGCUGUCACUUAUAGAUGGAUCCGCGCCGUAUUAGCUAGUUGGUAAGGUAACGGCUUACCAAGGCAACGAUACGUAGCCGACCUGAGAGGGUGAUCGGCCACACUGGAACUGAGACACGGUCCAGACUCCUACGGGAGGCAGCAGUAGGGAAUCUUCCGCAAUGGGCGAAAGCCUGACGGAGCAACGCCGCGUGAGUGAUGAAGGUCUUCGGAUCGUAAAACUCUGUUAUCAGGGAAGAACAAAUGUGUAAGUAACUGUGCACAUCUUGACGGUACCUGAUCAGAAAGCCACGGCUAACUACAUG
rnacentral:rRNA from 1 species